UACGGUAUUGUGGUUUUAAUCA
rnacentral:siRNA from 1 species